UGGGGAUUAUUGGACAAUGGGCGAAAGCCUGAUCCAGCCAUGCCGCGUGUGUGAAGAAGGUCUUCGGGUUGUAAAGCACUUUAAGGGGGGAGGAAGGGCAGUAAGCGAAUACCUUGCUGUCUUGACGUUACCGACAGAAUAAGCACCGGCUAACGCUGUGCCAGCAGCCGCGGUAAUACAGAGGGUGCAAGCGUUAAUCGGAAUUACUGGGCGUAAAGCGCGCGUAGGUUGUGCGUUAAGUUGGAUGUGAAAGCCCCGGGCUCAACCUGGGAACUGCCUCCAAAACUGGCGGGCUAGAGUAAGGCAGAGGGUGGUGGAAUUUCCUGUGUAGCGGUGAAAUGCGUAGAUAUAGGAAGGAACACCAGUGGCGAAGGCGACCACCUGGGCUCAUACUGACACUGAGGUGCGAAAGCGUGGGGAGCAAACAGG
rnacentral:rRNA from 1 species